GCAUCACUUUAUGUAUGCACUUGAUAUGCAACUUGCUGUAUGAUCAGAUCUAGUUUUUCACUUUUGUCAGUCGCACAAAGGAAUUGGAUGCAAGUGGAGGAAAAUCUGUCUCGUCUCGUAAUUACGUAAAGCAAAAUCAUGGAACUUCCCACCACCUUCAAUGAAUUGAUGAAGCUUGCCCGUGACGUUGGGCGCAGUAGCGAGGGUGGCAUCGACCUCGGCUUGGUUUUCUUCUAUCUUGUCGUCAUCGGGUUAUUUUCCCUUCUCAUAAAGUCCGUCGCGUCCGGGUACGCGCAUUUUUCUGGGGCGCAAGGUCACGGGGGCUGGUCGAGGAGAAGAAAUUAUAAUAAUAAUGUCCCCCAGGAAAAAAUGGACACCGCGAUGGAAAAAGUUUUCCAUACUUCGGGAGGAAAUCGUGACUUGGAAAUUUAGAAAUUUUCACAAAUUUUGGCUGUCUUGUUUUAAUAAUUAAUUAAGGUUGUUUUUGUUAAUACGUGAGAUAUUUAAAUUUAGUGUUUGGUUGAUGCUUAUAAAAGAAGAUUUGUGUAUUAUUUUGAAGUAUUUAAUAAACAAUUUUAAAAUUUGCAAAAAA